GAUGAACGCUAGCGGCAGGCUUAAUACAUGCAAGUCGAGGGGCAGCAGCUUUGUAGCAAUACAAGGGCUGGCGACCGGCAAACGGGUGCGGAACACGUACGCAACCUUCCUUUAACUGGAAGAUAGCCCACCGAAAGGUGGAUUAAUACUCCAUAACAUAUUGAAGAGGCAUCUCUUUGAUAUUAAAGCUCCGGCGGUUAAAGAUGGGCGUGCGUCUGAUUAGGUAGUUGGCGGGUAACGCCCACCAAGCCUUCGAUCAGUAGCUGAUGUGAGAGCAUGAUCAGCCACACGGGCACUGAGACACGGGCCCGACUCCUACGGGAGGCAGCAGUAAGGAAUAUUGGUCAAUGGACGCAAGUCUGAACCAGCCAUGCCGCGUGGAGGAUGAAGGCCCUCUGGGGUUGUAAAAC
rnacentral:rRNA from 1 species